AGCUAAUACCGGAUAGGAUCUUCUCCUUCAUGGGAGAUGAUUGAAAGAUGGUUUCGGCUAUCACUUACAGAUGGGCCCGCGGUGCAUUAGCUAGUUGGUGAGGUAACGGCUCACCAAGGCAACGAUGCAUAGCCGACCUGAGAGGGUGAUCGGCCACACUGGGACUGAGACACGGCCCAGACUCCUACGGGAGGCAGCAGUAGGGAAUCUUCCGCAAUGGACGAAAGUCUGACGGAGCAACGCCGCGUGAGUGAUGAAGGCUUUCGGGUCGUAAAACUCUGUUGUUAGGGAAGAACAAGUACRAGAGUAACUGCUYGUACCUUGACGGUACCUAACCAGAAAGCCACGGCUAACUACGUGCCAGCAGCCGCGGUAAUACGUAGGUGGCAAGCGUUAUCCGGAAUUAUUGGGCGUAAAGCGCGCGCAGGCGGUUUCUUAAGUCUGAUGUGAAAGCCCACGGCUCAACCGUGGAGGGUCAUUGGAAACUGGGGAACUUGAGUGCAGAAGAGAAAAGCGGAAUUCCACGUGUAGCGGUGAAAUGCGUAGAGAUGUGGAGGAACACCAGUGGCGAAGGCGGCUUUUUGGUCUGUAACUGACGCUGAGGCGCGAAAG
rnacentral:rRNA from 1 species